UCUCCUGGGAAACGGGUGGUAAUGCCGGAUGCUCCGACUCCUCGCAUGGGGUGUCGGGAAAGAUUUCAUCGGUAUGGGAUGGGGUCGCGUCCUAUCAGGUAGUCGGCGGGGUAACGGCCCACCGAGCCUACGACGGGUAGCCGGCCUGAGAGGGCGACCGGCCACAUUGGGACUGAGAUACGGCCCAGACUCCUACGGGAGGCAGCAGUGGGGAAUAUUGCACAAUGGGCGCAAGCCUGAUGCAGCGACGCCGCGUGCGGGAUGACGGCCUUCGGGUUGUAAACCGCUUUUGAUCGGGAGCAAGCCUUCGGGUGAGUGUACCUUUCGAAUAAGCACCGGCUAACUACGUGCCAGCAGCCGCGGUAAUACGUAGGGUGCAAGCGUUAUCCGGAAUUAUUGGGCGUAAAGGGCUCGUAGGCGGUUCGUCGCGUCCGGUGUGAAAGUCCAUCGCUUAACGGUGGAUCUGCGCCGGGUACGGGCGGGCUGGAGUGCGGUAGGGGAGACUGGAAUUCCCGGUGUAACGGUGGAAUGUGUAGAUAUCG
rnacentral:rRNA from 1 species